GCCGCAGGUGACAGUCCCUCCGCCUGGCACACUCCGCCAGGAAGCCGGGCGACAGCGGGAGGGAUUUCUGCCCCAACUUCGGAAGGGGCAGUAGAGCAGAGAAAGCCCAGCCUUCUGUCUGCCUUCUUUCAAGAACUCUGGGUUACUGGAAACUGAGAAGAAAUAACACAACCUUA